AUAGUUCUAAGAACAAAGAAAAUACAUACCAAAGUAAAAAAUAGGGUGUCAUCAAGAAUGCCUAAUUGUUCAAGUAUACAUUAUGGGCUGGGCUCAUGACCAAUCACACAUAGAGCAUAAAUACAAAUUUGAGUUGAUUCAUUUAAACACGGGAUCAGGAUAAUACAAAAAGAAGCAGACUGACAACAUACUUAUAUACCUAGAUAGACCCACCCUAACCACCCUGCCACUGACUCACUACUCGCCUUUUAGCACCUAUAUAUCAAACAAAAGAAUGGAAACCUCCUCUGCACCUAUGUUGUUGCAGAGAAUUAAAACAAGCCAUUCAACUGAUAACUUGCUGGGAGCGAGUCAAAGUGCAACUUCAAGGACCAAUAACACACAAUAAAAGAUCAAGAACAACUUAUAUGCAAUAAAGGUGUGAGAGAGAAGAAAUCUUUACAUAAGACGGCUAUAAACACCGGAGCAUAAAUAAGCAACACCUUUAACUACAAAUAAAAAGGAUUCGGGGUUCAAUGCAUGGUGGGCUCAGAUUCGCCUUUUCUCGAUCAUAUGACCUACCCCCGUCAUCUCUUAUCACCAGAUCAAUCUGUUUAUAGAGUGGAGCUGCCCUGGUUAUCACUCAACAAGAAUGACCAUCCAAGGACAGAACAAUAAGUAUCACAAGAUCAAAAAGGAUUCUAGAGACAAGAGGGAGGAUCCAACUUGAUACCCACAGGUGUCUUGAUUGCUCAAAGGCACAUUUAUUUCAGCCAUGGUUAAUCAUCAUUGCCCUAGCAAGAAUGGCCUCCGACCGGUGGGGCACGUGACUGGACGCACAGGCCAUGCCCGCACACACGGUCGCUGACGGCACACAAAGGGCCCCACACGCCAGCGAUCACGGGUCGAAUAGACCGAGUGAGCGACGCUGCGAGCCAAACGAGCUAACCCAUCGAUACAGCACCGGGUUUCGAUCCGGCGACCGGGAUCGAUCCAGAGCAAGAUCCAACGACCAGAAUAGCAUCAGGAAAAUGAUCGGACGGCCAGGAAGCCCAAAUCGCUUAGGGGCCGAGGUUUUCGAUCGGUCUCAUGUUUCUGGAUGUUCUUACAAGGGUGAAACUGCCCUGGUUAUCACUCAUCAGAAAUGACCAUCCAAGGACAGAGCCGCUAAAAUAAGAACAUGAUCAAAACGGCAAAGAAACGAGGGGGUAUCCAACUUAAUACCCACAAGUGCCUCGAUUGCUUGAGAGCAUGCUUAUAUCAGCCAUAAUCGAUCAUCAUAGCCCUCACUAUGUCCCAUACAGUAGCCGAAGCAGAGGAGCAGGAGGAAGAUGCAACUCACAGAGGGAGGUUGUAGCCGAGGCAGUACUCAGUGGGUGCCAGAGCUGCGGUUGAACGACGUCCAACCGGCAAGGAACCACUUCCUACACUCCUGAACCGUCAUAAAAAGAAGCAGGAGCUCAUCAUUUCCCAUUGCUCCUAAAAAAAUCAGCCAUAACCGAUCAUCAUAGCCCUGACUAUGACCCAUACAGUAGCCGAAGCAGAGGAGCAGGAGGAAGAUGCAACUCACCGAGGGAGGUUGUAGCCGAGGCAGUACUCA
rnacentral:lncRNA from 1 species